rnacentral:rRNA from 1 species
UCUGGUGACUAUAGCAAGGAGGUCACACCUGUUCCCAUGCCGAACACAGAAGUUAAGCUCAUAAGCGUCGAUGGUA